rnacentral:rRNA from 1 species
UACAGAGGUCUCAACCGUUGUUCGGAUUCAUUGGGCGUAAAGGGCUCGUAGGCGGCCAACUAAGUCAGACGUGAAAUCCCUCGGCUUAACCGGGGAACUGCGUCUGAUACUGGAUGGCUUGAGUUCGGGAGAGGGAUGCGGAAUUCCAGGUGUAGCGGUGAAAUGCGUAGAUAUCUGGAGGAACACCGGUGGCGAAAGCGGCUUCCUGGUCCAGCACCGACGUUCAGGCACGAAAGCGUGGGGAGCAAACAGG